rfam:Wallemia ichthyophaga EXF-994 unplaced genomic scaffold scaffold5, whole genome shotgun sequence.
GCUUUCGUGGUCUAGUGGUUAUGACAUGUGCUUUACAAACUGUAUUUCAAUAAACAAACUUGGAUCGCACAGGGCCGCCGGUUCGAACCCGGCCGAAAGCU